CUUCCUUCCCAGCCCUCUGAUGAAGGUCCGAGGCAGUCCAACGGGAGACGCUGGAUGCCAGACAAGGGUGCUCGUCUCACACCGGGGCUUCAGUGAGGGCGCAGCAUGGGCUGUCCCAGUGGCACCCGCUCUGAGCAAGUGGCUGGGGCCCCACUGGGAAAGGGCUGCACAUACCAUCGACGUAGACAACCCCUGGCACAAAACGCAGUCUUUUGGCAGAAUCUCGACUCAGACCCUGGAGCAGGAGGAGACGGGGUCUAAGCCCCACAGCCAGAAGCCCAGGACGCUUGCCCAGCAGAGGCCACUCUCCACCCAGUGUCCAGAGAAAAGCCGCUGGGCCCAUAUCAGCUCACCAUGCCCCCUGCCCAGACACCCUGACCACGCAGCGUGGGACGGAACACGGUAAAGAGGGCCUGUGUGUCCCACCACCAGGCCCAGGCCUCCCAGGAGCCCCAGUGCCAUGGCAAGAAGCCUUGACUGCCUCCCAUGCUCCACACCACGCCCGCCGACCAGAUGGGAGCCGGCCCCUCAUGCUGUCUCCCCCACGGUCCCCUCCCCGCAGGGCAGGGGCUGCCUCUCUGCCAGCACACCCCUGAUCCCUUCAUCUCACUUGGCACCCCCACUGGCAUCACCCCUUAAAC